GGAGGAAGCAGGGGAUCGCAAGAUCUUGCGCUUUUGGAGCGGCCGAUGUCUGAUUAGCUUGUUGGUAAGGUAAAAGCUUACCAAGGCUUCGAUCAGUAGCUGGUCUGAGAGGACGACCAGCCACACUGGGACUGAGACACGGCCCAGACUCCUACGGGAGGCAGCAGUGGGGAAUUUUGGACAAUGGCGGCAACCCUGACCCAGCCAUGCCGCGUGAGUGAAGAAGGCCUUCGGGUUGUAAAGCUCUUUCAGCCGGAACGAAACGGUUACGGUUAAUACCCGUGACUACUGACGGUACCGGAAGAAGAAGCACCGGCUAACUACGUGCCAGCAGCCGCGGUAAUACGUAGGGUGCGAGCGUUAAUCGGAAUUACUGGGCGUAAAGCGUGCGCAGGUGGUUUUGUAAGUCAGAUGUGAAAUCCCCGGGCUCAACCUGGGAACUGCGUUUGAAACUACAAGGCUAG
rnacentral:rRNA from 1 species